rnacentral:rRNA from 1 species
CAGUAGCCGCGGUAAUACGAAGGGUGCAAGCGUUACUCGGAAUUACUGGGCGUAAAGCGUGCGUAGGUGGUGGUUUAAGUCCGUUGUGAAAGCCCUGGGCUCAACCUGGGAAUUGCAGUGGAUACUGGGUCACUAGAGUGUGGUAGAGGAUAGUGGAAUUUCCGGUGUAGCAGUAAAAUGCGUAGAGAUCGGAAGGAACAUCUGUGGCGAAGGCGACUAUCUGGGCCAACACUGACACUGAGGCACGAAAGCGUGGGGAGCAAACAGGAUUAGAUACCCGCGUAGUCCCUGUCUCUUAUAA